rnacentral:rRNA from 1 species
AUUGAACGCUGGCGGCACGCUUAACACAUGCAAGUCGAACGGCAGCGGGGGGAGCUUGCUCCCUGCCGGCGAGUGGCGAACGGGUGAGUAACGCGUAGGGAUCUGCCUGUUAGAGGGGGAUAAGCCGUGGAAACGCGGUCUAAUACCGCAUACGCUCUAAGGAGGAAAGUAUGGGACCGAAAGGCCAUACGCUAACAGAUGAACCUGCGUUAGAUUAGCUAGUUGGUAGGGUAAAGGCCUACCAAGGCGACGAUCUAUAGCUGGUCUGAGAGGAUGACCAGCCACACUGGAACUGAGAUACGGACCAGAGUCCUACGGGAGGCAGCAGUGGGGAAUAUUGGACAAUGGGGGCAACCCUGAUCCAGCGAUGCCGCGUGUGUGAAGAAGGCCUGAGGGUUGUAAAGCACUUUAGUUGGGGAGGAAAGCCUGAGGAUGAAUAAGCCUUAGGGGAGACGUUACCCAAAGAAUAAGCACCGGCUAACUCUGUGCCAGCCGCCGCAGUAA